rnacentral:rRNA from 1 species
GAUGAACGCUGGCUACAGGCUUAACACAUGCAAGUCGAGGGGAAACGCCGGGGAAGCUUGCUUCCCCGGGCGUCGACCGGCGCACGGGUGAGUAACGCGUAUCCAACCUGCCUCUGACUGAGGGAUAACCCGUCGAAAGUCGGCCUAAUACCUCAUGGCAUCGUCUGCGGGCAUCCAACGACGAUUAAAGAUUUCAUCGGUCAGGGAUGGGGAUGCGUCUGAUUAGCUUGUUGGCGGGGUAACGGCCCACCAAGGCUACGAUCAGUAGGGGUUCUGAGAGGAAGGUACCCCAGAUUGGAAAUGCGGCACGGUCCAAAAUCCUACGGGAGGCAGCAGUGAGGAAUAUUGGUCAGUGGGCGGGGGCCUGAACCAGCCAAGUAGCGUGCAGGAUGACGGCCCUAUGGGUUGUAAACUGCUUUUAUGCGGGGAUAAAGUGAGGGACGUGUCCUUCAUUGCAGGUACCGGAUGAAUAAGGACCGGCUAAUUCCGUG